rnacentral:tRNA from 1 species
GCCACCGUAGCUCAGUGGUAGAGCACUCCCUUGGUAAGGGAGAGGUCACGGGUUCAAGUCCCGUUGGUGGCU